rnacentral:rRNA from 1 species
AACGAACGCUGGCGGCAGGCCUAACACAUGCAAGUCGAGCGAGACCUUCGGGUCUAGCGGCGGACGGGUGAGUAACGCGUGGGAACGUGCCCUUUUCUACGGAAUAGCCUCGGGAAACUGAGCGUAAUACCGUAUACGCCCUUUGGGGGAAAGAUUUAUCGGAGAAGGAUCGGCCCGCGUUGGAUUAGGUAGUUGGUGGGGUAAUGGCCUACCAAGCCUACGAUCCAUAGCUGGUUUGAGAGGAUGAUCAGCCACACUGGGACUGAGACACGGCCCAGACUCCUACGGGAGGCAGCGGUGGGGAAUCUUAGACAAGGGGGGCAACCCUGAUCUAGCCAUGCCGCGUGAGUGAUGAAGGCCUUAGGGUUGUAAAGCUCUUUCAGCUGGGAAGAUAAUGACGGUACCAGCAGAAGAAGCCCCGGCUAACUCCGCG